AUUGAACGCUGGCGGCAGGCUUAACACAUGCAAGUCGAGCGGAGCGAGGGUGCUUGCACCUUAGCUUAGCGGCGGACGGGUGAGUAAUGCUUAGGAAUCUGCCUAUUAGUGGGGGACAACAUUCCGAAAGGGAUGCUAAUACCGCAUACGCCCUACGGGGGAAAGCAGGGGAUCUUCGGACCUUGCGCUAAUAGAUGAGCCUAAGUCGGAUUAGCUAGUUGGUGGGGUAAAGGCCUACCAAGGCGACGAUCUGUAGCGGGUCUGAGAGGAUGAUCCGCCACACUGGGACUGAGACACGGCCCAGACUCAUACGGGAGGCAGCAGUGGGGAAUAUUGGACAAUGGGCGGAAGCCUGAUCCAGCCAUGCCGCGUGUGUGAAGAAGGCCUUUUGGUUGUAAAGCACUUUAAGCGAGGAGGAGGCUCUUAAGGUUAAUACCCUUGAUGAGUGGACGUUACUCGCAGAAUAAGCACCGGCUAACUCUGUGCCAGCCGCCGCAGUAAAAC
rnacentral:rRNA from 1 species